rnacentral:rRNA from 1 species
GGCUCAGUUCAGAUCGUAGGCUGCAACUCGCCUACGUGAAGUAGGAAUCGCUAGUAAUCGCAGGUCAGCAUACUGCGGUGAAUACGUUCCCGGGCCUUGUACACACCGCCCGUCACACCAUGGAAGUUGGCCAUGCCCGAAGUCGUUACUCCAACCCUUGUGGAGGAGGACGCCGAAGGUGGGGCUAAUGACUGGGGUGUAGUCGUAACAAGGUAGCCGUACCGGAAGGUGCGGCUGGAUCACCUCCUAA